rnacentral:rRNA from 1 species
CAUUGUAAUUUGCAGAGGAUGCUUCGGGAGCGGCCCCCAUCUAAGUGCCCUGGAACGGGCCGUCAUAGAGGGUGAGAAUCCCGUCUGGGAUGGGGUGCCCGCGCCCGUGUGAAGCUCCUUCGACGAGUCGAGUUGUUUGGGAAUGCAGCUCUAAAUGGGUGGUAAAUUUCAUCUAAAGCUAAAUACUGGCCGGAGACCGAUAGCGCACAAGUAGAGUGAUCGAAAGAUGAAAAGCACUUUGAAAAGAGAGUUAAACAGCACGUGAAAUUGUUGAAAGGGAAGCGCUUGCGACCAGACUCGCCCGCGGGGUUCAGCCGGCAUUCGUGCCGGUGUACUUCCCCGCGGGCGGGCCAGCGUCGGUUUGGGCGGCCGGUCAAAGGCCCUCGGAAUGUAACGCCCCCCGGGGCGUCUUAUAGCCGAGGGUGCCAUGCGGCCAGCCCGGACCGAGGAACGCGCUUCGGCUCGGACGCUGGCAUAAUGGUCGUAAGCGACCC